rnacentral:lncRNA from 1 species
AUCUGUGACAGCUUCCUGUUCUGUCCCCAGGUCACAGAGCAGCCUGGCAAUCGGGAUUAGCAUUGUCGAAAGCUAAUAACUGCAGCACUAUAUCCUGAGCAGCCGAAUCUGCAAUCAUCUUUUCAAGAGACUCCUGUAACCGAGCUAUAAAAUCAACAUAUGGUUUUCUUGGUCCCUGUUUUAUAGCACUAAAGGAAGGGUAUUGUUUCCCACCUGAAGUGAUUUUUUCCCCAGCUCUAAUGCACACUCCUCUAAGGUGUUCUAUGGCAUCAUCCUGCAUGACCAGUUAUGCAUCGAAACCAGCCCAGCCGCCAACCCCUAAAAGCUGGUCUGCAGCUAUAUUAAUUCGAGGUUGGGCCUGGGCAUUGUGAGCAGCCUGAAUGGAAGCUUCAUCUGCCCACGAAGUUUUAAAUUGUAAGAAAUGAGCAGGAGUUAGACAAGCUCAAGUAAGAGCGUCCUCAUCAGUAGGAAUCAUCCUAUUGGAAACAGCAACAUUCUUUAACUGUCCCAUUACCAAAGGAGAACCUGGUCCAUACUGAUUUAUAGCUUGUUUAAAUUCUUUGAGUAAUUUAAAAGGAAAAGGCUCAAAUGUAGCUAUAUUUCCCAUUGAUCUGGGGGGUGUAUUCUAACAGGGAACUGCCAAGCCUCGAAAUCACCCUCUCAUUUAGCUUGCUGAAUUCCUGCCUGAAUAGAACUAAGAGUGGUCACUCAAGGCACUGCUCAAACAGUCACUGGGGCAACUACUUUUCGCCCAGUGUCCUCCAGAAAAGAAAGAUCUGGAGGGUCUUUUUCUUCAAAGUAGUAAGGAGGGAGUGCAGAAGGGUAGGGAUGAACCUCUCCUUCCUUUGCUGCUUUAGCUUUAGCUGGUAAAUAAACAUGCUCUGUAACCCCUUCUGUUACUUCACUAUACUCUCCUUCCUCAUCAUCAGUGUGAAAAAGUUCCAAGGUGAAACGAACCAGACCCCACAUCUGUCCCAUUGUUACCCUGAUGCUUCUGAGCUCCCCUUCUUACUCACCACAGGGAUUGCUUUAAGAGUACUCGAGUGUCCUCCAGCUAGUUUUCCACUCCAACCAUUGUUCUGGCAACCCUUCGACCUGGAUUUGAGUCCCCACGAUGGACGCCACUUGCUGAGACCAGCUAGGUCAGGGAGACCCUAACCCAGCAGUACUAGAGGAAUUAAAGACACACACACAGAAAUAUAGAGGUGUGAGUUGGGAAAUCAGGGGUCUCACAGCCUUCAGAGCUGAGAGCCCUGAACAGAGAUUUACCCAUGUAUUUAUUAACAGCAAACCAGUCAUUAGCAUUGUUUCUAUAGAUGUUAAAUUAACUAAUAGUAUCCCUUAUGGGAAACGAAGGGAUGGGUCAAAUUAAAGGAACAGGCUGGGCUAGUUAACUGCAGCAG